CAGAUUUAAAGAAAAUCAGCCGGCAGUAGUUACUCGGAAAUUACAUCCAUUGAACAUCUAUGACAGAUGCCAUGAUAAUGCAAGGAAUAUCAUUUAAUGAUACUUUUAUGGAAAAUGGAACCAAAGUGGCAUGGGUCUGGCCAAGUUUGUGCUUGCCUGAGCGUCAAAUGUAUGAUUCUGCAUGGAUUCUGUGUUCUGUUUGUUGUUGCAUCCAUCAGUUCCUAGCAUCAUCUAUUCCUGUUGCUCUUUUUUAAGUUGCUCUAUUUCUAUUCCUGUUGCUCCAUUUUCUCCUGAGAAUCAUUUUUUUGGUGCAUUGCAUUACUGUGUACCAUGUUCAUGUGACUGCGGACUUCCUGGUUUGUUUCUUUCCGAAAAUUUGAAUUGAUGUUCACCUCCUUUUCUCUGCAAAUCUCAACUAGUUGAACCUCCUCUCAAAGGUGAAUGUCCCAGGAGAACCACCAUGCUACAGUCUACUACUCAGAUGGUCCUUGACGACAAUGAC